rnacentral:lncRNA from 1 species
GAACAACUUUGGACACUCCCCAACAAGUAAUCAGAUAGAUCUCGAGACAUCACCUCCAAAUGGCGUUCAUUAAGUUUGACGUGACAUGACACUCGGCAGUGACCUUUCCCAAAUACUACUUUUCGAAAAUCUAUUUUUCUUAAAACUUUUCCUUCAUGUUUCAUUUAUUUUGCACAAAAAUAUUUUGUCUUAUCUACCAAGAAGCGGGAGAUCGGAGAAAUCAACCGGAGAUAGCAAGACAAAAAGUAGACA